CCGCAGAGUACAGCUUGGGAGACAGAGCACCGGGUGCUAACGUCCGGACUCAAGAGGGAAACAACCCAGACCGCCAGCUAAGGUCCCUAAAAUUGGCUAAGUGGGAAACGAAGUGGGAAGGCUAAAACAGUCAGGAUGUUGGCUUAGAAGCAGCCAUCAUUUAAAGAAAGCGUAAUAGCUCACUGAUCGAGUCGUCCUGCGCGGAAGAUGUAACGGGGCUAAGCCAGUUACCGAAGCUGCGGAUGCAUCGCAAGAUGCGUGGUAGGAGAGCGUUCUGUAAGCCUGUGAAGGUGGGUUGUGAAGCCUGCUGGAGGUAUCAGAAGUGCGAAUGCUGACAUGAGUAGCGUUAAAGGGGGUGAAAAGCCCCCUCGCCGAAAGCGCAAGGUUUCCUACGCAACGUUCAUCGGCGUAGGGUGAGUCGGCCCCUAAGGCGAGGCAGAGAUGCGUAGCUGAUGGGAAACAGGUCAAUAUUCCUGUACCGAUCAAUAGUGCGAUGUGGGGACGGAGAAGGUUAGCUCAGCCGGGUGUUGGAUGUCCCGGUUCAAGCCUGUAGUCGUGCCUGGUAGGCAAAUCCGCCGGGCUUAGAUGAGGGGUGAUAACGAGGAGGCUUGCCUCCGAAGUGAGUGAUACCCUGCUUCCAGGAAAAGCCACUAAGCUUCAGCUAUUGACGACCGUACCGCAAACCGACACUGGUGCGCGAGAUGAGUAUUCUAAGGCGCUUGAGAGAACUCUGGAGAAGGAACUCGGCAAAUUGACACCGUAACUUCGGAAGAAGGUGUGCCUUUAGUAGGUGUAGUUGUACAAACGAAGCCCAAUGAGGCCGCAGAGAAUCGGUGGCUGCAACUGUUUAUUAAAAACACAGCACUCUGCAAAGACGAAAGUCGACGUAUAGGGUGUGACUCCUGCCCGGUGCUGGAAGAUUAAAUGAUGGGGUGCAAGCUCUUGACUGAAGUCCCAGUAAACGGCGGCCGUAACUAUAACGGUCCUAAGGUAGCGAAAUUCCUUGUCGGGUAAGUUCCGACCUGCACGAAUGGAGUAAUGAUGGCCACACUGUCUCCUCCAGAGACUCAGCGAAGUUGAAAUGUUUGUGAUGAUGCAAUCUCCCCGCGGAAAGACGGAAAGACCCCAUGAACCUUUACUGUAGCUUUACAUUGGACUUUGAACAGAUCUGUGUAGGAUAGGUGGGAGGCUUUGAAGUAAGGUCGCUAGAUCUUAUGGAGC
rnacentral:rRNA from 1 species